rnacentral:rRNA from 1 species
CCUACGGGAGGCAGCAGUGAGGAAUAUUUGUCAAUGGGCGCGAGCCUGAACCAGCCAAGUCGCGUGAGGGAAGACGGUCCUAUGGAUUGUAAACCUCUUUUGUCGGGGAGCAAAAGACGCCACGCGUGGCUUUCCGUGAGUACCCGAAGAAAAAGCAUCGGCUAACUCCGUGCCAGCAGCCGCGGUAAUACGGAGGAUGCGAGCGUUAUCGGGAUUUAUGGGGUUAAAAGGGUGCACAGGGGGGAGAUAAAGUCAGAGGUAAAAUUGAGAGCCUCAACCUAGUCGUGCCAUUGAAACUGGUAGUCUUGAGUGAGAGAGAAGUAUGCGGAAUGCGUGGUGUAGCGGUGAAAUGCAUAGAUAUCACGAAGAACUCCGAUUGCGAAGGCAGCAUACCGGCGCUCAACUGACGCUCAUGCACGAAAGUGUGGGUAUCGAACAGGAUUAGAUACCCUUGUAGUC